AGUGGAAAGACACGAGAUUAAGUGAAUGGUUAAAAGGGAAAGCGGGAGAAUGCCCAAAGUAGUAAUGCAGGAAUGGAACUAUUCCUUUUCUUUCUUCUGGGGCAAUUCUUCAGAACCUGUGUAAAGUUCGACACCUUCCAAAGUAGAGUUGUCGCCCUCGCUGGCUAAGUUUAUACGAGGGCCCUUGAACCAUUUUCUGCCGGAUAUGGCAUACCAGAUUAAAACGGCAAGCAUAGGAGCGCCGAAAACCAGGCAUGUCCAGUUCAUUUCGGCAGGAGUAGGGUUCUUGACAGAAGGGAAGCAAAGAAUGGGAAUCAUAAGAGCAACAAAGGAAACCGAGCAAAAUCCGAUAGGUUUAGAAAAUUUACCAAGGUUGAAAGGACCGGUGCGAAAAUCAGCAUCUUUAACGAAAAAGACACGCAUUGCAACAGGAGCGACGAAAGCAGUAAAGGCAGCGAUGGCGGUAACAGAGAAGACGGCACCAAUGGUGAUUGCACCGGCAAAGGCGAGAAACAGAAUUAGCACUCCAAUUACAAAGUUUACGAAGACAGCGCGAAUUGGAGUCUUGGUGAUAGGAUUGACGGUAGCAACCCAUUCAGAGUAAGGCAAAACACCAUCACGUGCGUAGGAAUAAGCGAUACGAGAAGAAGCAAUCAAAUUACUUUGACCCAUAAGGAAGGAAGAGACGAUAGUAAGAGAGAGGAUACCAAGAGCAGCACGUUUAGGAAGGCAUUGUGAUAAGUAAGUAGCCCACAUAGAAUCAGAUCCAGUGACUACGGCUGUUUGAUCAACAACAGUAUAUGCGAUAACAAUCUGCAUAACCCAACCCAUGAUACCGCCAAUGGCGGCAGUAAGGAUGAUACCUCUUGGGGCAUUAACACUAGCGUUGGCGGUUUCCUCACUCAUGUGGAAAGGAGCGUCAUAACCAGACAUGGUCCAAAUAACACCACAGAAGGACAUAAGAAUGGCAAACCCAUCAGGCCAGUCGGUGUAGUUUUCGAUAUGACUCCAAACCUUACUGGUUUCAUUGAAGCCGUGAUUCUUGCUAGACAUGGCCAAAAUGACAAUCAUAGAGAUGAAGAGAAAUAGAGUGUUAAGAUAGGUACCUACACUAUUCAAUUUGGCGAUGUAUUUGGUAGGCAUGGAUGCAAGGAUAAAAUGGAUAAACUGGAUUGCAAUACUUACUAAGAAGAGCUGAUAAUUCUGAACUUCGUAAUUUGGAUUGCCGAUGUUGACGGCGCCGAGAAGCAUUGCUGCAGUACUAUAGUUGAUGGAAGGACCACCUACCAAUUGAGCGAUAUAGUUGGACCAACCGGUAAACCAUGCUGCCAAGGGACCCCAUCCCUCGGGGGCCAAAACGGCAGCGGCAUAGUACAAACCACCAGAGGUUGGCAUUGCUGAGCAAAGUUCGGCCAUACUAAGAGCGAUACAAAUAAUGAAUACCAUGGCAAUAAGCCAACCCCAAAGCAAACCAGGGGUACCAGUAUAACCAAUACUGUAAGGUAAGGUAGUAGCAACAGAAGGAAGCAAACCGAGCAAGGAGAAAGAAACUGAAAAGACACUAAACAGGGAUAAACCACGUUGAAAUUCCUGUUUGUAACCCAAAGCAGCCAAAUCUUCGGCAUUAUCUGCUUCUGAAGUAAUAUUGGGUUCUUCUGGAUUUGUAGGAUUGCUAGUGGAAUGGAUGCUGAAUUCUGCAGAGUUCUUCUUUCCACUAGAAGAAGUGAGUGCGUCUAAAAUGGGUAUGGCCAUAAUGAUGAGAUAGAUGCGACAAUACACACAAGGGUUGAAAAAGAGGAAAUGAGAUAAAAAGCAGGUGAGAUUGAAUGAAAAGUUAUCGAGUGAAUAGAAGCAACCUUAGCAAAGGGAGAGAAAAGAGAAGCAGACAAAGGUGUUUAAUUUAGAGAAACAAAUAACUUUUAAACAAGAGAAAGUGUAGGAUAACAAUGUGACGACGAAUGAAGAAGGGGGAAAAGGCGAUCAAAAAAAGGGAA